rnacentral:rRNA from 1 species
AAGUCGUAACAAGGUCUCCGUUGGUGAACCAGCGGAGGGAUCAUUACUGAGUACUACACUCUCUACCCUUUGUGAACUAUUAUACCUGUUGCUUCGGCGGCGCCCGCAAGGGUGCCCGCCGGUCUCAUCAGAAUCUCUGUUUUCGAACCCGACGAUACUUCUGAGUGUUCUUAGCGAACUGUCAAAACUUUUAACAACGGAUCUCUUGGCUCCAGCAUCGAUGAAGAACGCAGCGAAACGCGAUAUGUAAUGUGAAUUGCAGAAUUCAGUGAAUCAUCGAAUCUUUGAACGCACAUGGCGCCUUCCAGUAUCCUGGGAGGCAUGCCUGUCCGAGCGUCGUUUCAACCCUCGAGCCCCUGUGGCCCGGCGUUGGGGAUCUGCCACGGCAGGCCCCUAAAACCAGUGGCGGACCCGAAGGGCCCUCUCCUUUGCGCAGUAGCAUUCGCCUCGCGUCGGGAGUCCUCGGCGUCCUGCCUCUAAACCCCCACAAGCCCGCUUCGGCGGCACCAAGGUUGACCUCGGAUCAGGUAGGAAUACCCGCUGAACUUAA